rnacentral:lncRNA from 1 species
ACAACAACUAAUCAGAAUAUCCUCCCUUGUUUACAUCAACCAUACUGUUGCUUGUAAUUUUAAAAAGCUCACUUCCUCCUUUGCCCCACGCUGCGCUCCCGCCAGCCCACAUUCUACCUCUUCCUCCAGGCUAGCUUUGUCAAGCCACCAUCAACCGCCCUAUCUUCUCUUUCUCCUACCCACCUUAGGUCCAAGGAAGGAAAACACUAGACCACUUUAUUACUUUAAAACUUUCCAGAUAACACAAUUUCUGGGCAUAGAAAUCUCUAGCCCUAAACUUAUCAGCUAUCUUAUAUCAGCCAUCCGCCAGUGGAAGAGGCCACCAGUUCUGGAUGCCCUAAGUCCUUACAUGGUUGUUGUGUCCUUCUUGCUCCAAAGCCUUGCCUGAAGAGCUCCCUCCUCUCCCUGUGUCUGCUCUUCCUCUCCUGGGAUCUGGAAGUCCCAGCUUCCACCCACCCCCACUCCCUGAGAUUGACUUCUGCUUUCUUUAUUGACCAAUUAGGAAAACACCACCUCCCCCUACACUAUGCCAAUCCCUUUGUGCUUCCAGGUUCUACUGUAUCACUCCUGGGUUUUGCCAAGUCCCUAGACUCUAGGGGUGGAAAAGACCUACCUGUAAACCUAGUCCUGUAGGGCGAGGUGAUGGGGCAGUUGGGCAGACUCUCCUCACUGAUGUCCACAGGUUAGAUCUAGCUAAGAUUGGAUGAGCAUUCCAGUGAGGAAUUCCUGCCCGGUUAGGGCAGGUCUCUCAUCUUUAGACUGCAUUUUAGGAGGUGUAUAAAGGAGAUAAGUCUCACUGGUGGUACUUUUACUAGAAGUGUGCACCUACAACUACCAUUUGCACUAAGAAAGGACACCAGGAUACCUGUGCUGCUACAUCCUGGAAAAUGACACAGAAAUUCAUUUUUCCUGUUUCAUACUACUCAGUUUUGUCUACAUCCCUGUGAGACAUGUACCCAGCCCUGUCAUAUUGGCCUUGAAGACUUCACAGAGGUGAGGCCAGAGUGAAAGGUAGCCAGCCCAGAGUACUCAAUACAAAGCUGUGUGAAGCUGGCAGUUGCUUUCAGUGUAUAUCCAUGUUUUUUCAACCCUAGGCCUCUAAACCCUCACUCAUUACCUUUCCUAAUAAGUAACUCAGCAUGAGUUCUGAUUGUAAAGUGGGAAUUAUGACUCAGCUAUGCUGGAUUGUAGUACUAAGACGAUGCUGUGACACUGGUUCAGUGUUGUUUUAUAACUGAGUCUGGUUCUUGCGUCUCUAGAGUCCUGUGUGAAAGCAUACUAUAGCACGUGUGCUAAAUCCGAACACCAGCACUACCACCCCCAAUUGACAACAGGCUCAUGCUGGUGGCUCUACCACUCAGCUGUCCCCACCCCCCAUACCUGCUAUAAUCCAUCAUGGAUGUACCUGUCUACAACUUCCCUAUGACAACAGCAACUUGUUGAGGGCAGUGCCGAGAACGCACCUGUAUCUGGGUCCCCCCAAGAACCCAGGACCAAGCUCUGAUUUCUCCAAACCAUCUCAUCUUAGAGCAGCAUUCAAUGUGGAAAAUGAGGCAGAGCUCAGGAAGCAGAUCUUGAUGGACACCACAAUUCCAUCUGCUAGAGGUCUGGUUUUCUUUUAGAAAUGUGGGUGAGGCUGAAGCAAACUGCUAACUAACCUGGGUCCUUCCUCUUAAUGUCAGGAUUUGGAGAGAGAGAGAGAGAGAGAGAGAGAGAGAGAGAGAGAGAGAGAGAGAGAGAGAGAGAGAGAGAGAGUAUUUCUCCAGGCCUUAUUUUAUCUCUGAUCAACUCAGGUGUCACCCAACCUCAAGCCCAACUACUAUAUAAUUACAGAAAUAGGAAUGUCUCACUUUUUAUGCUUAAAAUUUGUGUCUCACAGUUCAUCUCCAGCCAAAGUGUUUUGUCCUGUAUUCAGUAGGUAGAAACUUAUCUCUCCCAUAUCCAUCAAGAAUUGCCUACCCAUCAUGAGCAAUAUGAUUGUGAUUCUUAGAAUGCCACAUUAUCCAGCUAUGUUUUUUUUUUGCAUUUAGGAGUUGAUCUAAAAGACAGAUGUACACAAUGCAAAUACAAGAACAAUCGCUUAAACUUGAAUAAAUAAAGAUCCGGGGACUGAUGCCGAUGGACCAGCCUGAAACACACAAUUCUUAUAUAUGAAAGUUGCCUUGUGCUUCCAGUGGCAGUUAUCCAGAGGAGUGACAAGCAGUGGAGACAAGUAACCUGGCAGCUCACAUGUCUGCAGAUGAUGACACUGGUUAUGCACCAUGGUGGUGUUAUCUUCAGGUGACAGUGUUACCUUUGCCGGGAUACAGAAGGAAUCUGGACUCUUAGCAACAAAGAUUCAUGGCCUUAGCGGGCAGAAGUUAGAACCCUGGCACGCUGCGUGAAGAGCUCUCUGUGGUGCGGGAAAUGUGUAAGAGUUUUUCCCAGCAUAAGGACAUUUUGAUGGUCAGGAGCCACAAAAAUCACAUCAUGUAACAAACCUCACGCAAGAGAUUUAUUGGGGAGAAACCCAGAAUGGUGGCUGCCUCCGGAUGAAAAGAGAGACAUCACAGGGUUGGACAGAAGGACAAGCUUUUCUAGGAUCUUUGGGAGAGCUGAACACAGAUUUGGCAGAGAUUUUUUUUCAGCAUGAUGAGAAGCAUCUUCAAGUCUAAACUUAGAAGAUAACCAAAGGUAAUUUACAAUCUUGAGCUUGUGACUGACAAUCGUAUUCAGUGCUUUAUCGUCUUAUCAGAACUUCAUGGACCAAUAUUAAAACUCGAGCCUUCAAAAUAGAGGGUGAAGGAAAUCUGUAACAUCUUUUCACUACCUUCGAUUACUUUUUUAGACAUUUACAACUUACAUUUACGUACCUUAAAACACCAACUUUAACAUCCUCACAUUCUUGGACCCUCAGAACUGACAAAAGCAUUCACAUUUCC